UAAGUAGUAGUUUAAUUGGAAAAACAAAGAACUUUGAUUUCUUAGUUACGGGUUCGAUUCCCGUCUUCUUAA
rnacentral:tRNA from 1 species